CUCUUCCUGCUGCUCCAGGCAUGAGAAGUGCUCGCUCCCUCUUUGCCUUCCGCCACGUUUGUAAGUUUCCUGAGGCCUCCGAAGCCGAGCAAAUGCCAGCAUCAUCCUUCCUGUACAAGCCUGCAGAACUAAUGAGUCGCAUGGCUUCACACAGGUGUCAAGGAGCCUGGCAAGCUCCCUGCUGGGAGCCAUUUACCAGCUGCAACUCCACCCUACGGAAGAGAGAGUAGGCAUCUGGGUGGACAAUGAGUUGUUCCUGCCACCAGGAUCUUAUGUUUAUUCACUGCCAUGAUGACCUGAAUUAUUUUGGAUAGAAGACACUUCAGGAUUCAAUAGGAAGGAUCAGUGAGGCAACAGGAGUGGCGGCAGAGAAAGAACCACUAUGAAGUUUAAAGAGACACUUAGAAACAGAAUGGUCAUGAACAACGCCCAUAUAUGUUUUUUCAUUCCUUUAUUUUCAACCUCUCUGAAUCAACAUUGGAUUUUGAAGCCCCAUCUGAGUAUUUGCCAUUUAUCAGUAAGUGUAACUGUCAUAUUUAUUGAGAUUGCAGAUUUGUUAUACUAACUUCUGCUGUCUUAUUUAUGAGUUUCCCUUCGCUAUGCUUUCUUUGCCAUUUGUCUCCCUUUUGUGACUAGUAAGCAGGAUAGGAUGGGCAAUACUGUAGUAACAAACUAGCCCCAAGUCUCAGUGACUUCGUACAAGAGGCAUUCAUUCUUCCUCCUGCAGUGUCUUCUGUAGGUAAUGCAACAGUCCAGGGCAGCCCCUCUCUGCAAUGAUGCAGGGAUCUAGACUUUCUUCCAGGGCUGAAACUAGGAUGAGGCAAGUAAAGCACUCCAGAUGCAAAAUUUAAGGAGGUGCUCUUUCUCAGGUUCAUGGUCACCUCGCAAGCCUCACCUUAGUCCUGGCCCUGUUUUUUCCAUCUAGUGGCUGCACUCUUCAACACAAAGCCUACACUGGUUUGCCUCACAAUUGGGUAAUUGAGCAACAAAUUUGAUUACAGUGUAGCAAAGACAAACUCAUGUCUGCAAUUUUAAAAUAAGCUACAAGAGUGGGGCACGGUGGCUCACGCCUGUAAUCCCAGCACUUUGGGAGGCCGAAGCGGGUGGAUCACGAGGUCAAGAGAUUGAGACCAUCCUGGCUAACACAGUGAAACCCCGUCUCUACUAAAAAAAAAAAAGAAAAAAAAAUCAAAAAGCCAGGCGUGGUGGCGGGCGCCUGUAGUCCCAGCUAUUCGGGAGGCUGAGGCAGGAGAAUGGCAUGAACCCAGGAGGCAGAGCUUGCAGUGAGCAGAGAUUGUGCCACUGCACUCCAGCCUGGGCAACAGAGGGAGACUCCUGUCAAAAAAAAUAAAUAAAAAAUAAAAAUAAAAAUAAGCUACAAGAACAAGAAUAGUCAUUUUCUGAGGUGGGGGUUAUUGCAAAGAUAUUGCUCAAAGGAUACAAAAUUUCUUUUUUGUAUCCUUUGAUGGAAAGUAAGAUAGGAAAAACAGUUCAAGGGAUCUAUUGUACACCAUGUAUACAUGUUGUAUUAACUAUAGAUAUACAACAUCUAUAGUUAAUAACAAUGUUUCAUAUUCUUUAAAAUUGAUGAGAACAGGUUUUAAGUGAUCUCAGCACAAAAAAUAAGUAUGUGAAGUAAUUUAUAUGUUAAUUAGCUCAAUUGAGCCAUUUUACAAUGUAUAUAUAUUUUAAAUGUCAUUUUGUACCCAAUAAUAUAUACAACUUUUAUUUGCCAUUUAAAAAUUAAUUAAUUUAAAUAAGUAAAAGAAUAGGCAUUUUUUGCAAACUGCAUAUAAAAAGACUAGUUCUACCUAUGGAUUAGUAAAACACUGAAAUAAAAAAUGCACACAAAACAAUAAACAUUUUCUAAAAAUACCUACAAACAAAAAGAUGCAUAUCAAACAUAUUAGGAAGGUUGCACAUGGGAAGACGGGGAAUAGAAAUGGGGGGUGGGAAUGAAAGAAAAUAAAUGAGAGAGGGACUUUGUAUGGAUCAAUGAUAAUAACUCAAUCCUCUAUGUCUUUGACAAAGAAGGAGGAGGAAGAAAAAAAAAGUGGGAUAAAGGAUCAGAAAGGGAGGAAAAUAGAAGAAAUUAGAGUAUGACUCCAGGGUAGACCUGUUUUAUUGUUGCUGGGUUGGUUGGUUGGUUUGUUUGUUGUAUUUUUAGUAGAGACGGGGUUUUGCCAUGUUGGCCAGGCUGGUCUUGAACUCCUAGCCUCAAGUGAUCAACCCGCCUCAGCCUCCCAGAGUGCUGGGAUUAUAGGUGUGAGCCACCACGUCCAGCCCCCACACUGCGUCUGGCCUCUGUGGUAGACCUAUAUUUUGAUGGAAGUAGUAUAUAUGUCAUUUGCUACUUAUUAAGUAAAGUAUACUAAUUCUAACUUUUACAAUAGCCAUGAUAGAAAAUUUAAGUUUCUUGUCUAUAAAAGCUUAUUUACUUUACAGCAGCCUUUAGCUAUUCUAGUUUAUAUUUUAGCUAAGGCUACCUUUAGCUUUAUCAAUUAAUAAGACCAGAAUCGCAUACAUUCUGACAAAAUAGUUUUAUAUUUUUAUGUUAAAUUGUUAAAGAAAACUUUAUUCCAAACUUCAAAAAAAGCAAGCUGAUGAUUGCUUGAGUUUUUAAAAAUUAAUAUCACCCUAGAAUAUUUUCUAAUAAGACUGCUUGACCUCAUCUGACACCCUUAGGCAGGUAACUUUGCUGUUACCAAAUCUUUGUUUAACAAUUCUCAGCCAGUGAAGGUGCAGACAGCUCACGGCCAGUAAGGUUGGAAACAGAGGAGUUGUUGGGACAUUAUAGCUUGACAGAGAAGCUGACCUCCAGGUGACAUGGUCAAUAGCCCUUAGAAAGUCAGCCCACUGGGUACCUAACUCAGCAAUAUUAUUUUGCAUUUCUUUUUAGACUAACUAUAUAAAUCCCUAUUGCUUAAAUGCUGUUCACUCAGAUCUUUUGUCUUCUUGCUUAGAUCCUUUGUUACUAAGUCAAUAUAAAACUUUAACAACUGCUAACAUAUGUCUUUGAGAGUUGUGCUCUUACAACACUGAAUGUGUAAUGUUGUUUGAUCCUUUGAGUUAUUUGGCUAAAUGGCCACAACAGUUAUACUAUAAUCCUAAUGUCUAUAAGAUUUCAGAAAUAAUGUAAUAAACAUACUACCGUGCUCUACUAAAGACAAUAUCAAAAGAAGUUUUAAGAUCUAGCUUUAUGGUAUUUUCAAGAGAUAGCCUAAAAGAGAAAGUUAAAGUGAAAAGAAGAGAGACAUAUAUAUAUGAUAUUUAUUCAUAUCAACUAAAAUAGGCAUUAAAGCAAAUAAGUAUUACUAGAAAUAAAAACGAGUUAAAAGGCUAAAUUUAUCAGGAAGUUAUAGCAAUUGUAAUCCUGGAUUGCUUAAUAAAAUAGCUUUACAUAAAACUACAAAGGGAAUUGAAAAAUACCCAUCAGAGUGGGAGAUUUCAUUUUACCUUUUCAGUAAUUGUUGGGUGAAACACACAAACACUUGGCAGAGAUACAAAUUAUGUACACCACAUAAAUAACGCAUCUGAUCUAAGGGCCAUGUCUAAACACAGAAUAGGGGCAGAUGAUGUUCCUUUGAAAGUUGGCUCUUUGAAAACACUGAUAAUACUGACAAAUCUCCAGCAGAAUUGAUCAAGGAAAAGAAGAGAGCACACGAAUAAGCAGCACACAAUAUGAGGAAUUUUAAAUGAGCAUAAUUAGAGAUACAGGCAAGAUUUAAAAUAUAGAAAAAGGGUUAAGAGAGGAGAGUGAGCACACACAGUUAAUUUUGCUGCCUAUUGAAAUCCUUUUAAACCAUAGGAAAUUUCUCCUUUUAGCGUUUAGUUUUUUCCUAGGAAAACAUAAACCCAUGGGGAAGAUGACAACAAGAGACAAGAGGAAUCCCAAAUUGUUUUUGGAGACAGUCUCACUCUGUUACCCAGGCUGUAGUGCAGUGGUGUGACCUAGGCUCACCACAGCCUUGACCUCCUGGGCUUAAGUGAUCCUCCCACCUCAGCCUCCUGAGUAGCUGAAACUACAGGCAUGCACCACCAUUCCUGGCUAAUUUUUUUUUUGGUAGAGUUGGGGUCUUGCUAUGUUGCCCAGGCUGGUCUCAAACUCCUGGCCUCAAGCUAUCCUCCUGCCGCAGCCUCCCAAAGUGCUGAGAUUACAGGCAUGAGCCACUGUGCCUAGCCCCAGCCUACAAAAUUUUUGUUCCUAGAAAAUGGAUGGGCAAGAUCUCAAAUCCUAAACCAGCAACAGAGUAAGCUGAGAACUGACAAAAUGUAUACCAGUAAAAUCCUCAAAAGUCUCAGGCACUGCCAGUACUGAACCUGGGAGAGAGAAGCUAGACUCAGGAGGCUUGGGUCAGAGUGAGAAGUCAUCAGCCCCAGAUGCCCUUCUCCACUCCAGGCAUUGAGGACAGGGCCCUCUCCGAGACUGAGGAGAUAAAGCAGUGGGUAUGCAUCGAGUGCUGAUUCCAGAACAGCAGGUGGCCUUCACUCUACAGGCAGGAGGUAAGAUGGUUUUUCUCUGCGGAAUCUGACCCACCCCAAGGAAAAGACCUUGAGGCACUUGCUUAGGACUCCUCUCACCCUAUAGUACACCCUGAUCAUACUCACAACUACAAGACCCACUCAACACAAGGCAUGUCCAGGCAGGUUCCUAACCUCACCUAAUCAAACACAAGAAGUGUGUAUGAGCAGUGGCUAACUUGAAGACAGACUGCCAGACAAACGCGGGAAAGAGCAACUUAGUGGAACAGCGCCAGGCAAAAGACAACAUUUUUUUUUUUUUUUUUGAGAUGGAGUCUUGCUCUGUCGCCCAGGCUGGAGUGCAGUGGUGCAAUCUCGGCUCACUGCAACCUCCACCUCCCAGGUUCAAGCAAUUCACCUAUCUCAGCCUCCUGAGUAGCUGGGAUUACAGACACAUGCCACCACGGCCAGCUACUUUUUUGUAUUUUUAGUAGAGACAGGGUUUCACCAUGUUGGCCAGGCUGGUCUCGAACUCCUGACCUCAAGUGAUCCACCCACCUCGGCCUCCCAAAGUGUUGAGAUUACAGGUGUGAGUCACCGUGCCUGGCCAACCAUUUUUAAAAGAAGAAAAAAAUACCUUCGGAGGAAUUAGAGAAGCUACUACGUCUAUGAAAAGAACACGCUGCUCCACAAAUGAAAAUUCAAAAACGUAAAACAUUUUUAAUUUCUUUAAAAUUUUUAAUUUUAAGAAAUUGAAAAAGAAAAUAGCAAAAAUGAAAAAAAUUUAUUUGAAAGGAGGGAAGAUACAAUUGAUGAAAUCCUUUUGCAGAAAGGAAAGCAAAGGGGCAAAGAAAUAGAAAUUAUGAGAAAAAAAGGAAGAGAAAUAAAGAAUGUUUUCAGGAUCUGCAUAAUAGGAGUUCCAGAAACAACAUUUUUCAACAUAUGAGUGACAGGAGAUCCAGAAAAAAGAGACCAAGCAGACAGGAUGAAUGAGAACACCCUGGCCCACCCUGCUCUGUGGGGCAACCCUAGCUGUGCCCCCACAGCCUUCCCCCUCCAUAUCUCUGCUCGUUUUCUUUUUUCUUUUUCUUUUUUGAGACAGAGUCUCACUCUAUCACCCAGGCUGAGUGCAGUGGUGCGAUCUCAGCUCACUGCAACCUCUGUCUCCUGGGUUCAAGCGAUUCUCCUGCCUCAACCUCCCGAGUAGCUGGGACAACAGGUGCACGCCACCACGCCCAGCUAAUUUUUGUAUUUUUAGUAGUGAUGGGGUUUUGCCAUGUUGGCCAGGCUGGUCUCGAACUCCUGGCCUCAAAUGAUCCACUGGCCUUGGCCUCCCAAAGUGCUGGGAUUACAGGCAUGAGUCACGCGCCUGGCCUCUCCACUUAUUUUCUGAAAUGGUUCUUGAGCCUUCUCAGGGAUUUUGUGAACUAGGUGAUAGCUUUACAAUAAACUCAUUUCCUGCUUAGGUUUUUUUAAACAUAGUAAGAUAAUAUUACAAAAAAAAACUUUAUGCCAAUCAAUUUGAAAAGUUAGGUGAAAGGGAUAUAUUUCUAUAAAAAUAUAAAUUACCAAAACUGGUGCAAGAAAAAAAUUAACUCAAGUAGUUCUACCACCAUUAAAAAUUAACAAUAAUAACAAGAUGAUAAUGAUAAUAAGUGGUCCCACAAAGAACACUGCAGCCACAGAUAGUCUUACAGAUAGAUUCUAUCAAACAUUUAAAAAACCAAUCAUUCCAAAAUUACACAAUCUUUUUCAAAGAAUAAAACACCUCUAUUCAGUUUAUGAGGCGUAUGAAAACAUGACACAAAAACUUUGGAAAGCCAGGCAUGGUGGCUCACGCCUGUAAUACCAGCACUUUGGGAAGCCGAGGUGGGCAGAUCACCUGAGGUCAGGAGUUCCAGACCAGCCUGGCCAACAUAGCAAAACCCUGUCUCUACUUAAAAUACAAAAAUUAGCUGCACGUGGUGGUGCACCCCUGUAAUCCCAGCUACUAGAGAGGCUGAGGUAGGAGGAUAGCUUGAACCCAGGAGGCAGAGGUUGCAGUGAGCCGAGAUCGUGGCACUGCACUUCAGCCUGGGCAACAGAGCGAAACUCCAUCUCAAAAAGAAAAAAAAAACUUUGGAAAAGUUGGCAUUACAUCAUUACAUAUGUCACUUAACAGGGAUAUGUUCUAAGAAAUGCAUUAUUAGGCAGUUUCAUCGUGCCAACAUCAUAGAGUGCACUUACACACACCUAGAGGGUGUAGCCUGCUACAUAACUAGACUUUGUGGUAGAGCCCAUUGCUCCUAGGCUAUAAACCUGUAUGACAUGGGACUGUACUGAAUAUAGUAGGCAGCUGGAACACAGUGGUAAGUAAUUGUGUUAUGUAAACAUAGCAAAAAUAUAGUAAAAAUAUGGUAUUAGAAACUUACAGGACCACCAUUGUAUAUGCAGUCUGUCACUGACCAAAGCAUUUUGUGCCACAUGAGUAUAUUUAGUAGUGCUGACUAGGUAAGCUGUGACCCAGUAAUUCUGUUCCUGGGUGUGUUCUCUACUCAUGACAUAUCCUGCAGGAGGCAGAAGUGUUUCUAUCAGCAAAAAUAGUAACAACAUAAAUGUUUGUUGACAGAGGAAAGGAUAAUUAAAUUGGGAUGUAUUGGAAUGCUGUAGUAGAAUAGAAUACUAUAUGUACUGAAGAUAAAUGAACCAUGUUCCAUGGUUCAUUUCAUUCAUCCAUGUCGGCAUGGAUGAACUUCAGAAGCAUGAUGUUGAUUUACAUAAAAGAAGCAGAUUAGGCCGGGUGUGAUGGCUCAUGCCUGUAAUCCCAGCACUUUGGGAGGCCGAGGCAGGUGGAUCACCUGAGGUCAGGAGUUCGAGACCAACCUGGCCAACAUAGUGAAACCCCGUCUCUAGUAAAAAUACAAAAAUUAGCCAGGCAUGAUGGCAGGUACCUGUAAUCCCAGCUAUUCGGGAAGCUGAGGCAGGAGAAUCACCUGAACCCAGGAGGCAAAAGUUGCCGUGAGCCAAGAUCGUGCCACUGCACUCCAGCCUGGGUGACAGAGUGAGAAUCCAUCUUAAAAAGAAAAAAAAAAAAAAAAAAAAGCAGAUUAUAGAAUACAUAGGACUCAAUUUACAUUAAGUGCAAAACAAGCAAUAAAACCAACAUAUUAUUUAGGCAUACCUGCAUAUGCAAUAGAACCACUUUGUUAAAAAGCAAGGAGAUUAUUAAAAUAAGUGUUUUACAUGUGUCGGGGUGAGGGAAGGUAAACAUAAAUGUGGCAUACAGGCAGCUUCAAGGACACUGGUGAUGUUCUGUUUCUUAAGCUAGUGAUAAAUGACACAGGACUGAUUUUAUCAUUUUUUGUAACCAUAUCUAUGCAUUACAUACACUCUUAUUUGAUCUAUCCCCCCCAAACACAUACACACACACACACACACACACAGAGAGAGAGAGAGAGAGAGACAGAGACAGAGAGAGAAAGAGUGCCAUGGCAUGCUAUAAUGUACUUAGGAUAUUCAAAGCCUGGAUUAGAAAUUGCAGGGUUGAAGUCAAGUAGCACAAGAACAAAGGAACAAAUCUAGAGGAACAUAAAAAUAAUUAAAAGCUGCUGUUUUCAUUUAAGGCCAGAUGAAAGAAAAUAUGCUGAGAGUGCAGAUGGAGGAAUUUAGACAUUAGGAAGAAGAAUUUCCUUACUGGCCAAAGACACUGCCAUAUAUUGCAAAGUAAGCAUGUGCUAUUAUUCAAAAAUAGGGCAAGGCAGUUAUUUUUCUUGGGUUGGUCUGAGACAGAGCUAGCCAAGUGAUUUUAAUCCAAGGGCCAACUGUGUGCCAUUACCUGAAGUUAUCGGGAACACUGUCUUCAGAAGAAUUCUGACUGCCCUGUCUGUCACACUGGAGGUGGGCAGGCCACCCAGAUGUUGCCUUCCCAGGUAUUGGGAGAUGGCACUAGAAUGGCCCAGAUGUGGAGAAUAAAACUCAGCUAAGCUUUCAUCUUGUAUUUUGGUUCUAGCAUUCUCUGAGCAAUAACAGCCAAAAAUACAUGUUUACACAUAUCAGAGUGACAAAAAGUAAAAUUAAUAAUAUUUCAUACAAACAAGUGUAGUGAGAAGAUCUCUCAAAUCCUCUCGGGGGGGGGGGUUAAGAUUGAUAUUAUCAAAAAGGAAACAAUUUGGCAAUGGUAUGCAAUAUUUAAAUUCACAUACCUAUUGAGCCAGCAGUCUUACCGAUAAGGAUGUAGCCCUGGAUGUGGGCUCAAAUGUAUGCUCAAAGAGGCAACUUACAAAAUUAUUUGCAAAAAGAAAAAUGAAAAUUCACCUUAGUGUUCAUCCCUAAAGGCUGAUAAAAGAGACAUGGUACAUCCAUGGGAUGGGAUAUCCUGAAACCAUUAAACAGAAUCAAGCCCAUCUGUGUGCCUUUGCUGUGGUCAGGUCUCCAUGCUAUAUUAUUAAAUAAACAAAGCAAAGUUUAGAACAGGGUUUAUGGUUGUGUGAGGUAGGAUCCCAUUUGUGCUCAGUGGGCAAAAAUUAAACAAUUUUUAAUUCUGAUAAUUUAAUUCUAAUAAUAAAUUCUGACAGAGAACUGCUGCUGGGGCUAAAACUUGUUCUCUCCUUCUUCCUGGGUACAUGACUAAGUGACAUUUCCCAGCCUUCCUUGCACUUGGGUUGGCCACAGAACUGAGCUCUGUCCAAGGGAAGGUCAGUGGACCCAUACUGGAAAGCUCUGGGUGUACCAUGAUUUCUUCCCCUUCUUUCCUUCUCACAAGUCAAAGCAGAUAUGUGUUAUGAUCCAGCUUCAACCAUGAAGAAGAGAGCAAGAACCCACACGAUAGAUGGAACUUGCUCAGAUCUACUUGCCAAUAGGGAAAGCUCUCAUUUUUUGUGAAGUCUCUAGACAUUAUUGGGUUUUUUGUUGUUGUUGUUGUUGUUACAGUUGCUAAUCUUCAUCAUACUAUCAACAUCUAUAGCAACAUGUAACUGUAGAAUUUUUUUCUUACUUUUUCUGAAAGGAAUGGUUUUUCCUUACCUUUCUGAAAGGAAUCCCAAGACAUUUUAGCACUGGUUACCUUUACAGAGAGGGGUAAGGUAAAAGCAGGGUUAGGAAGAGGCCUUUAUUUCUCUUUUUGUACCUUGCUGUACUGCUUGAAUUUUCUAAUUUUAUACCCCCAUUACUUUUAUUUUUAACAGGAGUUAUUUAGGCAAAGAGAUGGUGGCCUUAGUCAUUUUCUUCUAUUCCUCUCUUUGAGUUAAAAAUACAUAUAUAGGUCAGGCACGGUGGCUCACACCUGUAUUCCCAGCACUUUGGGAGUCUAAGGCAGGUGGAUCACCUGAGGUCAGGAGUUUGAAACCAGCCUGGCCAACAUGGUGAAACCCCAUCUCUACUGAAAACACAAAAAUGAGCCAGGUGUGGUGGUACGGACCUGUAGUCCCAGCUACUCAAGUACUCAAGAGCCUGAGGCAGGAGAAUCACUUGAACCUGGGAGACAUAGGUUGCAGUAAGCCGAGAUCAUGCCACUGCACUCCAGCCUGGGCAACAAGAGUAAGACUGCAUCUCUCUCUCUCUCUCUCUCUCUCUCUCUCUCUAUAUAUAUAUAUAUAUAUAUAUAUAUAUAUAUAUAUAUAUAAAAUAUAUAUGAAUAUAAUAUAUAUACACACACAUUAUUAGCCAUCAGGGAAAUACAAAUUAAAACCACAAUGAGAUAUCACUACACAACCAUCAUAAUGGCUAAAGUAAAAACUAAUGACAACACCAGAUUCUGAUGAGGAUGUGGGGAAAAUGGAUCAUUCAUACACUGCUAGGGGAAUACAGCAACUGUGGAAAAGAGUUUGCAGUUUCCUAAGAAACUAAACAUGCAACUUCCAUACAGCCCAACAAUUGCAAUUCUGAGCAUUUGUCCCAGAAAAAUAAAGACUUAUGUUUACAUAAAAAGCUAUAUAUGAAAGUUAACAGCAGCUUUAUUUGUAUAGCCAAAAACUGGAAAUAGCCGGGAUGUCCUUCAGUAGAUUAAUGGUUAGAUAAACUGUGGUUCAUCCAUACCAUGGAAUUCUACUCGGCACUAAGAAGGAAAAAACUACUGAUAUAAUGACGUUGGUGAAUCUCCAGAAAAUUAUGCUAGGUGGGGGAAAAAGGCAAUCCAAAAAGUUUUACAUAGUAUAUGAUCCCACUUAGAUAACAUUCUUGAAGUGACAAAAUUAUAGCAAUAGAGAACAGAUUAGUGGUUCCCAGAAGGGACUGGGAGGAAAGUGGGUGUGGCUAUAAAAUGGCAGCCCAGGAAUCCUUGUAGUGAUGGAAUUGUUCUGUAUCUUGACUAUAUCAAUGCCCAGAACCUGAUUGUAAUAUUGUACUAUAGCUUUGCAAGAUGUUACCAUUAGGAGAAAUUGGGUAAAGAAUACAUAUUAUCUCUCUAUAGUACUAUGAGAUCUUAGUCCACACACCCCCAUAAUUUAACAUUUAUCCACCAAUAAAAUAGCUCUGGGAGAAGUCCUGAUUACAAAGAAGUUUCAGCAAUUCAGUGGAGCACAAAAACUGAGGAUGAACACAUAGAAAUGCAUGGAAAGCAAUUGUAUCUGUGUCACCCCAUCUCCCAGUCUGGCACACCUUGGCUCCAAAAGGAUCCCCUUGGCUGUGACUGUCCCUCAUGGGAGAAAAGGAGAGCAGGAUGACUCCAGCAGCCUCAGCCACCACAGACAUCUGCCUCUUUUACCCUUGAGGACUUCAACAGUUUUCACAGAUGCCGAUCCAAGCCAAUGGGCCUGCGUGGAGUCCACACCACUGCACCUACUCUGAAGAAGAAGCCACCACUCCAGCCUUGGCACCACCAUGCCUGCACUGUACCCUCAACUCUGACACCAGGAGGGAUCCCCUUGGUCAUAACUUCCCCCAUGAGGGAAAAAGGAGAACAGGAAGAUCUGCAUCCGCCUUCACUACCAAGACCCCACAAUCUUUGCCAACACUAACCCAAGCUGACUGCUUGGAGUCCACAGCAUUGCACACGCACCCCACCCCCAGGGCCAGAGUUAUCGGUGCAUUCUCCUAGAGCCAAAGCCACCACACAGAAUCCAGCCACCUCCCUCACACUCAACCAUAGGUGAGGGUGUUUCCCCACCAAAGCCAGUUAAUAAAGACUGGAAGAGGUGAUUUCUUCUUCAAAUGCACAGACAUUAAUGCAAGACUCCAAGGAACAUGAAAAAUCAAGGAAACAUGACACAACUAAAGGAACAUAAUAAAUUUCCAGUAAGUGGCCCCAAGGAAAUAGAGAUCUAAAACUGUCUAACAAAGAAGUCAAAAUAAUUGUUUUAAAGAAGAUCAGCAAACUACAAAAGAAGACAAAUAGGCUGGGCAUGGUGGCUAAUGCCUGUAAUCCCAGCACUUUGGGAGGCCAUGGUGGGUGGAUCACCUGAAGUCAGGAGUUCGAGACCAACUUGGCCAACAUGGUGAAACCCCAUCUCUACUAAAAAUACAAAAAUUAGCUGGGCAUGGUGGUGCACACCUGUAAUCCCAGCUACUCAGGAGGUAAUCCCAGCUGGCUCAGGAGGCUGAGGCAGGAGAAUCACUUGAAUCCGGGAGGCAGAGGCUGCAGUGAGCCGAGAUUGCACCACUGCACUACAGCCUGGGCGGCUGAGUGAGACUCCAUCUCAAAAUAAAUAAAUAAAAGAACACAGAUAGACAACUCAACAAAAUGAGGGGGGAAAUACAUGAAUAAAAUGAGAACAAUAAAGAGGUAGAAAUUAUAAAAACAACCAAACAGAAAUUAUGCAGCUGAAGAAUUUGAUGAAUAAAAUGAAAAAUGCAAUAGAAAGCCUUAACAGCAGACUCAAUCUAGCAGAAAAAAGAAUCUGUGAACUUGAAGAAAGGACAUUUGAAAUUAUCCAGUCAGAGACAAAGAAGAAAAAAGAAUUAAAAAGAUUGAAGAAAGCCUAUAAGAUUUAUGGGACAUAAACAAGCAACCCAGUAUAUAUAUUAUGGUAUUCCAAAGAGAACAGAGAAAGAAAAGGGCAACAGGCUUAUGUGAAAAAUAAGGUCUGAAAAAUUCCCAAAUCUUGAGAGGAAAAUGGACAUCCAGGUUCAUGACUCCCAAAUCACCUCAAAUAGGAUCACACAAAUUAAGAAUACUCUGAGACACCUGAUAAUUAAAUUGUCAAAAUUUAAGGACAAAGAGAGCAUUUUGAAAGCAGCAAGAGAAAAGUUGGAACCCCCUACUAGCAGAUUUCUCAGCAGAAACCUUGCAGGCAAAAAGAGAGUGGGAUAAUAUAUUCAAAAUACUGAAAGGAAAAAAAAAAGCUGUCGACCAAGAAUACUAUACCCAGCACAAUUAUCCUCUUUAAAUAGAGGAAAGAUAACGUGUUUCCCAGACAAAAACUGAGGAAGUUCAUCACCACUAGAUUUGCCUUAAGAAAUGCUUAAGGCAGGUCCUCAAAUUGAAAUGAAAACACACUAAACAACAACACAAAUCAUAUGAAAGCAUUAAUCUCACAGGUAAGGGAAAAUAUUUGGAUAAAUAUAAAAUAAUAUAAUAGUUGUAAUGAUGGUGCACAAAUCACUUUUUGCCCUAAUAUAAAAGUUAAAAGAUAAAAAUUUGUUAACAGAUACCCGGUAUAAAAAGCAAACUUUACAGGCAUGAUGGCACACACCUGUGGUCUCAGCUACUUGGGAGGUUGAGAUGGGGGGAUCACUUUAGCCUGGGAAGUGGAGGUUGCAGUGAGCCAAGAUCAUGCCACUGCACUGCAGCCUGGGUGACAGAGUGAGACCCUAUCUCAGAAAAAAAGAAAAAAAAAAGCAAACUCUUUCUACAAAAACACAAAGAGGGGAGAACAAAAGUGUGGAGUUUUUGUAUGUAAUUAAAUUGUUAUCAACUUAAAGUAGACAAUUAUAAGAUAUUUUAUGUAAGCCUCAAGCUAAUCACAAUGAAGAAAAAGCAAUAAUCGAUACAAAAAAGAUAAAGAGAAAAUAAUGAAAGCAAAUCAAUGCAAAAAAUCAUGAAAUAAAGGAAAACAGCAAAAGAGGAAGAGGGACAAAACAACCACAAAACAGACAGAAAACCAUUUACAAAAUGACAAUAGUAAGUCCUCACCUAUCAAUAAUUAUAUUAAAUGUAAAUGAAUUAAACUCCCCAGUCAAAAGGCAUAGAGUGGUUGAAUGGACUUAAAAAACAAGAUCCAGUGGUACGGUGUCUGCAAGAGAUUCACAUAAGCUGGGCAUGGAGCAUGGGGAAGUCAAGGCUGCAGUGAGUCAUGAUCACACCACUGCACUCCAACCUGGGUGACAGAGUGAGAUCCUGUCUCAUAAAAAAAAAAAAAAAAAAAAAAAAACAGAAGAAAGAAGACAAUUCGAUUCACAAUAGCAACAAAAAGAAGAAAAUACUUAGGAAUGAACUGGUAAAAGACUUGUACGCUAAAAUUUAUAAAACAUUAAUGAAGGAAAUGAAAGAAGACACAAAAAUGGAAAGAUGUCUGUGUUCAUGGAUUAGAAGAUAGAAGAAUUAAUACUGUUUAAAUGUGCAUACUAUUGAAAAUAACCUACAGAUUCAAUGCAAUCCCUAUCAAAAAUCUCAAUGGCAUUUUUUAUAGAAAUAAAGAAAAUCCAAAAAUUCAUAUGGAACCACAAAAGAUCACAAAUAGCCAAAACAAUCUUGAGCAAGAAGAACAAAGUGGGAAGCAUCACACUUCUUGACUUCAAAAUAUAUUAUAAAGCUACAGUAAUCAAAAUAGAAUGCUUUACUAACAUUAAAAAAGACAUAUAAACCAAUGGAACAGAAUAGAGAGCCUGGAUAUAAAUUCACACAUCUACAGUCAACUGAUUUUUAACAAAGGUGGCAAGAGCACACAAUUAGGAAAAGAUAGUCUCUUCAACAAAUGGUGUUGGGAAAACUAGAUAUCCGCAUGCAGAAAAAUGAAAGUGGAACUUAUCUCACACCGUAUACACAAAUCCACCCCAAAGGGAUUAAAGACUUAAAUGCAACCUCUAAAGCCAUAAGAUUAUUAGAGGAAGACAUAGGGGAGAAUCUUCCUGAUGUUGGUCAGGGCAAUUAUUUUUUAGAUAUGACACUGAAAGCACAAGCAACAAAAUAAAAAUAGACAAUUGAAAUUGCAUCAAACUGGCCAGGUGCGGUGGCUCACACCUGUAAUCCCAACACUUUGGGAGGCUGAGGUGGGUGAGUCACAAGGUCAGGAGAUCGAGACCAUCCUGGCUAACACAGUGAAACCCUGUCUCUACUAAAAAGACAAAAAAUUAGCUGGGCGUGGUGGCAGGCGCCUGUAGUCCCAGCUACGCAGGAGGCUGAGGCAGAAGAAUGGUGUGAACCUGGGAGGCAGAGCUUGCAGUGAGCCGAGAUCACACCACUGCACUCCAGCCUGGGCGACAGAGCAAGACUCCAGCUCAAAAAAAAAAGAAAGAAAAUGCAUCAAACUAAAAAGCAUCUGUGCAGCAAAGGAAACAAUCAACAGAGUGAAAAGGUAACCUACAAAAUGGAAUAAAGUAUUUGCCAACUACAUGUCUGAUAAAGGAUUGAUAUUCAAACUAUAUAAAGAGCUAAUAAAACUUAAUAGCAAAACAAAACAAAUAACGUGAUUUUAAAAAAGGAAGAAGGAUGUAAAUAGACAUUUUUCAAAAGAAAACAUACAAAUGGUCAAUAGGCAUAUGAAAAGAUGUUCAAUAUCGCUAAUUAUCAAGGAAAUGCAGAUGAAAACCACAAUGAGCUAUCACUUCACACCUGUUAGAAUAGCUACUAUAAAAAAGACAAAAGAUAAGUAUUGGCGAGGAUGCAGAGAAAAGGGAACUCUUGUAUACUGUUGGUGGGAAUGUAAAUUGGUACAGCCAUUAGGGAAAACUGUAUGGAAGUUCCUUCAAAUAAUAACUACUUUAUGAUCCAGCUUCUGGCUAUAUAUCCAAAGGAAAUGAAAUCAGUAUGUCUUCAAGGUAUUUGCACUCCCUUGUUCAUUACAGUACUAUUCACAAUAGCCAAGAUAUGGAAGUAACCCCAAUAUCCAUUAACAGAUGAAUAAGGAAAAUGUGGCACACACACACACACACACACACACACACACACACAAUGGAAUAUCAUUUAGCCUUUAAAAAGAGAAGGAAAUCCUGACAUUUAUGACAACAUGGAUAAAUGUUGGACAUGGAUAAAUGAGGAGAUUAUGCUAAGUGAAAUAAGUCAGACACAAAGACAAAUACUGCAUGAUCUCACUUAUAUGUGGAAUCUAAAACAGUCAAGCUCAUGGAACUACAGAGUAGAAUGUUGCUGCUAGAGGCUGGGGGAGGGGUAAAUGGUGAGAUGUUGGUCAAGGGACACAAAGUUUCAGUUAUGCAGGAUGAAUGAGAUCUAGAGAACUAAUAGACAUAGUUAACAAGGACAUAGUUAACAUAGAACAUAAUUAACAAGGCUGUAUUAUAUGCUUGAAAUUUGCUAAGAACUGUAAAUCUCGUUUUCUCACCCCUCCCAAAAAAGAACAAGAAAAGAUCAUGGUAAUGAUAUGAAAUAAUAGAUACGUUCGUUAACUUGAUUAUGGUGAUUAUUUCACAAUGUAUACAUAUUUCAAUAUAUUAAGAAGUCAUACACUUAAAUAUAUACAAUUUUUAUUUGUCAAUUAUUCAUCAGUAAAGGUGCAAGGAAAUAUUCAAUAUUUUUUAAGUUAAAGGAGAACAAAAUAAAUACACAAAAAUUAGAUGGCAGUGCUCUUGAAAUGGGUGUGGGGAUGUGUGUGGAGAGGGUGGGUGCUGCGUGGGGCUUGAGUGGGGCCACCCUGCUUGUGUCCAGCUGGGCUGAGUGAUUGUCUAAGGCCACAGCAAUUACACACACUCCCUAAGGGAACUCUGUCUACAACUAGGCAGAAAUGAUGGGAACCAUGAAUUUGAUGGUAGGCCAUGAAUUUGAUGUCUUUAUUUGAUGUAAGCCUAUUUGGCUGCUGUUAAGUAUUGGGUUUUUCUUAUAACCUCCAGUAAUUAGAAAUAAAUGAGGACUGUAGGUACCCUCCCACAAAACCCAGCCAGCAGAUGGUGCCUUACAAGGCAAGCAAGCUUCAGACUGAACUCUACCACACCUAAAACAUCAAGCUGGAUCAAAGAGUCAGGAACCUGUUCUUGAAAGCUCAGUGGAGCCCCAGCUCUCUGACCCUUAGGCAGUCUACUAAAUGUCUUGCAUGAGGGCUCAUCCCCGGUAGAUAAAAUAUUCUAAGGGGUGGAUACAGUCAACCUUCUAGCUAAAUCACAUGGCAGAAUCCUCCACUACGUGGCAGGAUGUGGGACCAAAUCACAGUUCAAGGCCAUGAAUGCUACUCUGCUAUACCCACAGAUAUUACACCUGUAAAUCAAAAAGUGUCUGAGACAGGUCUCAAUCCAUGCUGAAGUUUAUUUUUCCAAGGUUAAGGACAUUCCAGUGGCACAGCCUCAGGAGGUCCUGCGAACAUAUACCCAAGGUGGUUGGGCUACAACUUGGUCUUACAUGUUUUAGAGAGACAUAAGAUAUCCAUCAAUACAUGUAAGAUGUACGUUGCUUCUGUCCAGAAAGGCAAAACAACUCAAAGGGGUGGGUGUGGGGGGACUUACAGGUCAUAGGUGGAUUCAAAGAUUUCCUGAUUGGUAAUUGGUUGAAAAAGUUUAUCUAAACACCUGGAAUCAAGAGAAGGGAGUGUCUGGGUAAGAUAAGAGAUUGUGGAGACCAAGGUGUUUAUUAUGCAGAUGAAGCCUCCAGGUAGCAGGCUUUAGAGAGAAUAGAUUGUAAAUGUUUCUUAUCAGACUCCCAGUUAAUUCUCUCCUGAAUCAGGAAAAUGACCUGGAAAGGGAAGGGGAUUCUCUACAGACCAUAGAUUUUCCCCACAACAGAGAGCUUUGCAGGGCCAUUUCAAAAUGUGUCAAAGAAAUACAUUUGGGGGUAAAAUACUUUGAUUUCUUUUAGGGCCUGCUGUCUGUGAUGUUGGUAUCUUAUUGCUACAAAGAGUCUGCUUUGUCACUCUUUUUUUUUUUUAGAUGGAGUCUCGCUCUGUCACCCAGGCUGGAGUGCAGUGGCGCGAUCUCGGCUCACGGCAAGCUCCGCCUCCCAGGUUCACGCCAUUCUCCUGCCUCAGCCUCCCAAGUAGCUGGGACUAUAAGCGCCCGCCACCACCCCUGGCUAAUUUUUUGCAUUUUCAGUAGAGGCGGGGUUUCACUGUGUUAGCCAGGAUGGUCUCGAUCUCCUAACCUGGUGAUCUGCCCGCCUGGGCCUCCCAAAGUGCUGGGACUACAGGCGUGAGCCACUGUGCCCGGCCUGCUUUGUCACUCUUAAGGUCUCUGUGUUGAUAUCAGCGGUGCUCAGCUGUGCCUGAAUUCCAAAGGGAGGAGGCCGUAAUGAGGCAUGUUCAACCACCCAUCUCCAUCAUGGCCUGAACUGGUUUUUCAGGUUAACUUAGGAAUGCCCUUGGCCAAGAGAAGGGGUCCAUUCGAUUGGUUGGGAGACUUAGAAUUGUAUUUUUGGUUCACAUACUUUUGUUCAUUCAAGGGUAGAAGUGCCUGUACAACAUUUUUUCACCAAUCCACUUAUUUUGAACGACUAUUCCACAGUAUAAAUAAUUUCCUCAGGAAAAUUACUUAUAACAUCUGUUAGGCUAGCAAGCCUUCUAAUGAAGGUCAAGUUAGCUGAGGCAUAGAUGUUGAUGAACUCUGAUUUGUCAUUUUUAAAAAUAACUAAAAACUCAAUUUAUCCAGGGUUCUGGCAGAAAUAGCACACUCAAACUGAGUAAUUUGGAGAGAGUUUAAUAUGAAGAAACCACAAGGGACAGUGCAAUAGGGUGGGGCUGGCAACACUGAGCUGCUGUUACCAUGUCAGAGGUAUUUGAGCCACAGCAACUCCAUCUUAAAUAGGAGCUGGGUGAAAUGAGGCUGAGACCUACUGGGCUGCAUUCCCAGAUAGUUGAGGCAUUCUAUGUCACAGGGUGAGGUAAGAGGUCAACACAAAAUACAGGUCAUAAAGACCUUGCUGAUAAAACAGCUUGCAGUAAAAAAGCCAGCUAAAACCCACCAAAACCAAUAUGGCGAGGAGAGUGACCUCUGGUCAUCCUCAUUGCUACACUCCCACCAGCGCCGUGACAGUUUACAAAUGCCAGGGCAAUGUCAGGAAGUUAUCCUAUAUGGUCUAAAAGGGGAGGCAUGAAUAAUCCGCCCCUUGUUUAGCAUAUCAUCAAGAAAUAACCAUAAAAAUGGGCAACCCGAGGGCUGCUCUGUCCAUGGAGUAGCCAUUUUUUAUUCCUUUACUUUCCUAAUAAUCUUGCUUUCACUUUAUGGACUCACCCUGAAUUCUUUCCUGCUCAAGACCCAAGAACCUUCUCUUGGGGUCUGGAUCAGGACCCCUUUCCUGUAACAUCUUUCUGGUGACCACAAAGGGAUUAUAGUGUGAAAACCCCCUUCCCAAAGCCUAACUUUGGGUAAGUGGUGGGGUCUGGUAACAUCUUUCUCACUAACCCUGAAGGCACAAUACUAAAGAAGCCCCAAUACUAAAGAAGCCCCCGACCCAAAAAAAAUAGACUACAGCACUGAUUGGAUGGCUUUGGGUAAGUGGGGCGCAUUUACCCGGGUAAAGGAUGGGGCUGGGUUAGAGGCCCAACUUAGGGGAGUUAGAGCCUCUCCUAAGACAGAGCAGGUUAGAGGCCCUUCUUAAUAAAAGGCAAGGGCACUUGACUAGCCUUGGGUUAGAGUCCUAACUUAGGAGGGUUAGAGUCCCUUCUAAUAUUUAGGGGGUUAAAGUCCCCUCUCAGAAAAGUCCCUCUCGUAAAGUCCCUCUUGGCUAAGAAUGGGUUUGGCCCUACGGGAUGUUAACUGCUUUUCUCUUUGGAAUAAUCUGCCUUUCGCUCUUUGCUAAUGGCUGUGGGUGACAGGAUUAGGCAUGUACAGCAUUGUGGUACACGGGGAACUUUUUCCUCCCUAAAAGGGGGAACUUAAGAGCUGAUGAGACUGCAGGAAAAGAUCCCUUCACUACUGACAAGCAGCCACCUGAACUUUUCAGCGUUGCUGCAAUGGGUGGUUUUUUCUCUGGGCUCUGUGAGCGUCUCGCCUCCCCCACCCUGCCUCAGGCAAUGCUUUCCUUUCUGUCUCCCUCUGUCUCUCUGCAAACUGGUUAAAUGGUAAAAAUCACUGCUUGUCUCCUCUGUAAAGUUUUGAUUAAUGGGAAAAAGGAUUUGUGAGGCUAGUCGUAAGCUGCAGCAAAUUUGGUGUGCUUUGUGUGUCUUUCUAUAUUGUUCUGCCACAAAGAGGGGUAACUUAGGAUAGAACAUGGGCAUAGGACACCUGUAAGCCCGCUUUUCAAGAUGGCCCAGCAAACUGGUCAGUUAUGUCCUUGGGAGCUUGACCUUGUAACCAUAUGGCCGUGCUUUCUCUUUUCAGAAUGGUGGCCUGGGUUCAAGGUUUGAUUCGUGUCUUAGGGAUGAGUCCUUUAUUCUCUGUCUGUGUAUUUAUAUAUGUUGCAUAUGUGAUAUAAAAGAGCUUUGAUUAAUUGGUUUAAAAAUAAUAAGCGCUUAAAUCAAAUAUUUUAUGAGAAAAGUAAAAAGUGUAAUGUCUUUUAGUUCAUGUGACUUAAGUAAUCUUUGAGAAAUAAAGAUAGUUUUAAAAAUAUUGGUAAAAUAAAGACAUUUGGUCUAAAGUUAAAUAGGUCAAAUAUUAAGUUUACUUAAUGCUUUAAGGUCAUAAACUGCUUCUUUGACUUUUGAAAAUUGUUCAAUUUACCUACUUUGGCGCAUUAGUUCUAGAUAAGGCCAGGGACAUGUGGAGUUAGCCACACCCCCUAGCUAUGCUGGAGUCAGCCCUCAUCUGCACUUCUGCCUGGUGUGUCCUGAGCUAGGCUCCACACUUGGCACAUGAUUAAAAUUGCUUCCUAACCAGGUUUUUCACCAGAAGUAAAAGUUGCUAAGGGUUAACAUUGUAACGUGUAAUUAAGACUACUGAAGAAACAGUUCUACCUGUAAGGCAUGUAAGGAAAGCAGAAUGUGUUUUUGGUAAAAGAUAAUAAGAAGUCAUGGGAAUGUGG
rnacentral:lncRNA from 1 species